GACAGGGGGGGCAAGCGUUGUUCGGAAUUACUGGGCGUAAAGGGCUCGUAGGCGGCCAACUAAGUCACACGUGAAAUCCCCAGGCUUAACCUGGGAACUGCGUGUGAUACUGGAUGGCUUGAAUUCGGGAGAGGGAUGCAGAAUUCCAGGUGUAGCGGUGAAAUGCGUAGAUAUCAGGAGGAAUACCGGUGGCGAAGGCGGCAUCCUGGACCGGCAUUGACGCUGAGGAGCGAAAGCCAGGGGAGCAAACGGG
rnacentral:rRNA from 1 species